rnacentral:misc_RNA from 1 species
UUUCCGUAGGUGAACCUGCGGAAGGAUCAUUACUGAGUGAGGGCCCUCUGGGUCCAACCUCCCACCCGUGUUUAUUGUACCUUGUUGCUUCGGUGAGCCCGCCUCACGGCCGCCGGGGGGCACCUGCCCCCGGGCCCGCGCUCGCCGAAGACACCCUUAAACUCUGUCUGAAGUUUGCAGUCUGAGCGAAAACUAAAUAAGUUAAAACUUUCAACAACGGAUCUCUUGGUUCCG